rnacentral:rRNA from 1 species
CUCGUAGGCGGCCAACUAAGUCAGACGUGAAAUCCCUCGGCUCAACCGGGGAAUUGCGUCUGAAACUGGAUGGCUUGAGUUUGGGAGAGGGAUGCGGAAUUCCAGGUGUAGCGGUGAAAUGCGUAGAUAUCUGGAGGAACACCGGUGGCGAAGGCGGCAUCCUGGACCAACACUGACGCUGAGGAGCGAAAGCCAGGGGAGCAAACG